CCUGAUCCAGCAAUGCCGCGUGAGUGAAGAAGGCCUUCGGGUUGUAAAGCUCUUUUGUCAGGGAAGAAACGGUAGUAGNNAAUAACUAUUACUAAUGACGGUACCUGAAGAAUAAGCACCGGCUAACUACGUGCCAGCAGCCGCGGUAAUACGUAGGGUGCAAGCGUUAAUCGGAAUUACUGGGCGUAAAGCGUGCGCAGGCGGUUGUGUAAGACAGAUGUGAAAUCCCCGGGCUCAACCUGGGAAUUGCAUUUGAGACUGCACGGCUAGAGUGUGUCAGAGGGGGGUAGAAUUCCACGUGUAGCAGUGAAAUGCGUAGAUAUGUGGAGGAAUACCGAUGGCGAAGGCAGCCCCCUGGGAUAACACUGACGCUCAUGCACGAAAGCGUGGGGAGCAAACAGGAUUAGAUACCCUGGUAGUCCACGCCCUAAACGAUGUCUACUAGUUGUCGGGUCUUAAUUGACUUGGUAACGCAGCUAACGCGUGAAGUA
rnacentral:rRNA from 1 species